UUAAAUUGAAGAGUUUGAUCAUGGCUCAGAUUGAACGCUGGCGGCAGGCCUAACACAUGCAAGUCGAACGGUAACAGGAAGCAGCUUGCUGCUUUGCUGACGAGUGGCGGACGGGUGAGUAAUGUCUGGGAAACUGCCUGAUGGAGGGGGAUAACUACUGGAAACGGUGGCUAAUACCGCAUAACGUCGCAAGACCAAAGAGGGGGACCUUCGGGCCUCUUGCCAUCAGAUGUGCCCAGAUGGGAUUAGCUGGUUGGUGAGGUAACGGCUCACCAAGGCGACGAUCCCUAGCUGGUCUGAGAGGAUGACCAGCCACACUGGAACUGAGACACGGUCCAGACUCCUACGGGAGGCAGCAGUGGGGAAUAUUGCACAAUGGGCGCAAGCCUGAUGCAGCCAUGCCGCGUGUAUGAAGAAGGCCUUCGGGUUGUAAAGUACUUUCAGCGGGGAGGAAGGUGUUGUGGUUAAUAACCACAGCAAUUGACGUUACCCGCAGAAGAAGCACCGGCUAACUCCGUGCCAGCAGCCGCGGUAAUACGGAGGGUGCAAGCGUUAAUCGGAAUUACUGGGCGUAAAGCGCACGCAGGCGGUCUGUCAAGUCGGAUGUGAAAUCCCCGGGCUCAACCUGGGAACUGCAUUCGAAACUGGCAGGCUUGAGUCUUGUAGAGGGGGGUAGAAUUCCAGGUGUAGCGGUGAAAUGCGUAGAGAUCUGGAGGAAUACCGGUGGCGAAGGCGGCCCCCUGGACAAAGACUGACGCUCAGGUGCGAAAGCGUGGGGAGCAAACAGGAUUAGAUACCCUGGUAGUCCACGCCGUAAACGAUGUCUACUUGGAGGUUGUGCCCUUGAGGCGUGGCUUCCGGAGCUAACGCGUUAAGUAGACCGCCUGGGGAGUACGGCCGCAAGGUUAAAACUCAAAUGAAUUGACGGGGGCCCGCACAAGCGGUGGAGCAUGUGGUUUAAUUCGAUGCAACGCGAAGAACCUUACCUGGUCUUGACAUCCAC
rnacentral:rRNA from 1 species